UCCAGCUGAUCCUGCUGGUGGAUACUGCUAUUAGAGUUUGACUAAGACAUGCAAGUUUGAAAGUCUCGGCCAUGAGAGACUUUGGCAGACGGCUCAGUAACGCGUGGUCAACCUACCUUUCUGAUAAGUUAAUCUUGGGAAACUGAGGAUAAUGCUUAAUAGAAAAACAAAUCUGGAAUGAUUGUUUUUUCAAAGGUCUUGCACUCAUGCGUGUAAGAUGCGGAAAGAUGGGACUGCGUCAGAUUAGGCUGUUGGCAGGGUAACUGCCUACCAAACCGAAGAUCUGUACGGGCCUUGAGAGAGGGUGCCCGGAGAAGGAAACUGAGAUAAGGUUCCUAGCCCUACGGGGUGCAGCAGUCGCGAAACUUUUACAAUGCGGGAAACCGUGAUAGAGAGACUCUAAGUGCCAGCAAAAACUGGCUUUUAUAUAGCUUAGAUAGCUAUGUGAAUAAGGGGGGGGCAAUAUGCGUGCCAGCCGCCGCGGUAAUACGCAAUCCUCGAGUGGUAUCCAGCUUUAUUUGGCUUAAAGCGUGUGUAGCUGGUUUAUUAAGUCUUUUGUGAAAGCAGUGAGCUCAACUUAUUGAAUUGCAAAAGAUACUGGUAGGCUAGAGAUAGGGAGACGUCUGGGGUAUUCCUAGAGUAGGAGUAGAAUCUUAAGAUACUAGGAAGACCACCUGUGGCGAAGGCGCCAGACGAGAACUAGUCUGACAGUGAGACACGAAAGCUGGGGGCGCAACCCGGAUUAGAUACCCGGUUAGUCCCAGCCGUAAACGAUGCGAAUUAGGUGUUGGGUUAACUACGAGUUAACUCAGGGCCGAAGGGAAACCAUUAAAUUCGCCGCCUGGGGAGUACAGUCGCAAGGCAGAAACUUAAUGGAAUUGGCGGGGGUGCACUACAAGGGGUGGAUGCUGCGGUUUAAUUGGAUGAAACGCCAGAUAUUUUACCAGAACAGACAGCAAGAUGAUGGUCAGUCUAAAGGGCUUACCUGAUGCGCUGAGAGGUGCUGUAUGGCCGUCGCCAGCUCGUACUGUGAAGCUUCCUGUUAACUCAGGUAACGGGCGAGACCCAUGUUAUUAGUUGCUACUUUCUUUAGUGAUAAGGAGAGGCACUCUAAUAAGACUGCAUUGGUAACAAUGAGGAAGGAAUGGGCGAAGGCAGGUCUGUAUAGCCCGAUUGCUCUGGGCAACACGCGGCAUACAAUGACUAGGACAAUGAGUCUCUAACCCGAAAGGGGGUGGCAAUCUCAGAAACCUAGCCGAAGUUCGGAUUGUGGGUUGCAACUCACCCACAUGAAGCUGGAAUCCCCAGUAAUCGCGUGUCACUAUCGCGCGGUGAAUAUGUCCCUGCGCCUUGCACACACCGCCCAUCAAGCCAGUUGAGUAGAGUGUGGAUGAACUCUAGCCUAUUACAGGUUAAAGUAAUUCUACAUUUUGCGAGACGGACUAAGUUGUAACAAGGUGUCCGUAGGGGAACCUGCGGACG
rnacentral:rRNA from 1 species